rnacentral:rRNA from 1 species
AGCGUUGUUCGGAAUUACUGGGCGUAAAGGGCUCGUAGGCGGCCAACUAAGUCAGACGUGAAAUCCCUCGGCUUAACCGGGGAACUGCGUCUGAUACUGGAUGGCUUGAGUGUGGGAGAGGAAUGCGGAAUUCCAGGUGUAGCGGUGAAAUGCGUAGAGAUCCGGAAGAACACCGGUGGCGAAGGCGGCUCUCUGGACCACAACUGACGCUGAGGCGCGAAAGCGUGGGGAGCAAACAGG